UACGUAGGGUGCAAGCGUUAAUCGGAAUUACUGGGCGUAAAGGGUGCGUAGGCGGUCGGGUAAGUCUGAUGUGAAAUCUCAGAGCUCAACUCUGAAACUGCAUUGGAUACUAUUCGGCUUGAGGACUGGAGAGGAGAUUGGAAUUCACAGUGGAGCAGUGAAAUGCGUAGAUAUUGUGAGGAACACUAGUGGCGAAGGCGAAUCUCUGGACAGUUCCUGACGCUGAGGCACGAAGGCCAGGGGAGCAAACGGG
rnacentral:rRNA from 1 species